UCUCUCCACCUCUCCCUCUCUCUCCUCUCUUCGAGGAGUCUCCCUCUCCUCUCCUCUCCUUCUAGAGAGAGAGAGAGAGGCGCAGCCGCCGCCGCCGCUCGCAAAGCGCCACGUCCCCCGAUCGAGCCGGCUAGGGUUCCGCCACCGCCGCCGCAGCCAUGGUGGGCUGUUCCAGAGGGGGCGGGGGCCUCCCCGCCUGGAUGACCGCCGCCGCCGCCCGCGUCGAUCUCUCCAGCGCCGGCGGAGGCGGCGGCAUACCCGGCUCGGGGGCCUCCUCCUCCUCCUCCUCCUCCUCACAGCCCGGAUACUCGGGGCCGCAUCAGCAGGCUGGGGUUGCGGGGGCGGCCGCCGACCAGGAGCUCGGGAUGGCCGAGCGCGCGCUCUCCGCCGCCGGCGCCGCGUUCGUCUCCGCCAUCAUCGUCAACCCUCUCGACGUCGCCAAGACGAGAUUGCAGGCGCAGGCGGCGGGGGUGCCCUACUACCAGCCGUCGCAGAUGGCGUCGCUCGGCCCGGACGCGAUAUUAUCUGAUUUCAGAUGUUCGCCGUCAUGCACACGUGGUGUCAUUUUGGGAAGUGAGCCUAUUUGCCCACCUGACUGCUUUCAGUACAAGGGAACACUUGAUGUAUUCUUGAAAGUUGUUAGACAGGAAGGAUUUGGUAGAUUAUGGAGAGGUACAAAUGCAGGCUUGGCGUUAGCAGUACCAACUGUUGGAAUAUAUUUGCCUUGCUAUGACCUAUUUCGCAACUGGAUUGAAGAUUUUACACAAAGUAAUGCUCCUGGUUUGACACCAUAUGCCCCAUUAGUAGCAGGAUCAGUCGCACGUUCUUUGGCUUGCAUUGCUUGUUCCCCAAUUGAGUUGGCAAGGACACGGAUGCAGGCAUAUAAAGAAUUUCGUCCUGGAGUAAAGCCUCCUGGAAUGUGGAAAACAUUGCUUGGCGUUGUUUCACCACUUGCAAGCUCAACUCAGAAUGCACAAAAUUAUCGUGCUCUUUGGACGGGUGUGGGUGCACAACUUGCUCGGGAUGUUCCUUUCUCUGCUAUAUGCUGGUCAACACUGGAGCCGAUUCGAAGAAAGCUGCUUGGUAUCGUCGGAGAAGAAGGUGAUGCAGCUAGUGUGCUGGGUGCAAACUUUGCAGCUGGCUUUGUAGCAGGUAGUCUUGCUGCUGGUGCUACAUGCCCUCUAGAUGUUGCUAAGACAAGGAGACAAAUAGAGAAGGAUACGCAAAAGGCAAUGAGAAUGACCACAAGGCAAACAUUAGCUGAUAUUUGGAGGUAUGUCUUCCACAUGCUAUGAAAAGGCAUUUCAUUCCAGCCAAAUGAAAAUUAUUUUCUAGUGGUGCUAUAGUGGUAUAUAUUUUCAAACUUGAUCUACUUACAAGUCAAUGUAUUGAGCCUAUACGUAAAACUACAUUUUAGCAGACAUUUCUGCCUGGGUCACCUUGUUUGAAGAGAAUGCAGGUUAUCUGAACUGGUCAAAGAGUUAGCAACAUGCCUAGCGAGAGCAAUCAAUGGCUUUCUUCUUAGAAAUGGCUGUUGAUAGAGAAUAACAAUUGGACGAUUAAUGAGAUCCUGAUUUUAUUUUUUUGAAACGAAGAGAUCACUGAAACUUUGACUGUUGCAUCCAUAGGAAAACUAACAUAGAACUACACUGGAAAACGAAAGGCUUUUUUUUUUUGGUACAACAAAUACAUUACUGAAAAUAAAAGCAGAAGAGCUAAUCCUCACACUGAAUACAUUGCUGUGACUCUGUGAGAUGGCAAUGGGUGCUUGAACCAGCUGUGGCCCACCCAAAUUAUGUUUGUUUUAGCUGGUUUGGCUAAUGCCCUAAUUUGUUCUAGAAAGCAUGUUUUGCUUGUUGCAAAAGAAAGGUGGGUUUGAUCAAGUUUAGUGGUUGCUCUCCAUUUUAGUUUUAUCUUCUAAAAUGUAGGUGUAAUUUCUUGUAUUACAUUUUCAUUAUUUACCCCUGAGAGGUCUUGGCUUGGGGAGUCGAUUUCAGUUGGACUGAUUUAAUUUUAACCUGGCAG